UAGGGAAUCUUCCACAAUGGACGUAAGUCUGAUGGAGCAACGCCGCGUGAGUGAAGAAGGGUUUCGGCUCGUAAAACUCUGUUGUUAAAGAAGAACAUAUCUGAGAGUAACUGUUCAGGUAUUGACGGUAUUUAACCAGAAAGCCACGGCUAACUACGUGCCAG
rnacentral:rRNA from 1 species